GGGGACAUAGUUUAAUUGGGAAAACUACGAUUUUGCAUAUCGUUAUUUCAGGAUCGAUCCCUGAUGUCUCCA
rfam:Tuber melanosporum whole genome shotgun sequence assembly, scaffold_251, strain Mel28